ensembl:snRNA U6 U6 spliceosomal RNA
GUGCUCACUUCUGCAGCACAUAUAUUAAAAUUGGAAUGAUAAAGAGAAGAUUAGCAUAGCCCUAUGCAAGGAUGGCAUGCAAAUUAAUGAAGCAUUCCAUAUUUUC